rnacentral:lncRNA from 1 species
UCGUAGUAAAUUCAAUUCUUAUCGGAUUUCGACGAUUCUUGAUGUUUCGGAAAGCUCUUUCAAUCUCCUACAACUUUCGUUCACAAUGUUUUCUCAGAUUAUGUUCGAACUGUUCUCAAAAUUACAAAACUUAAUCAGAUCCUGCUUAUUCUUUGAGUUCUGAAUCAGCGGACGUUUUAUUUAAUUCCCAAUUCGUUAUAACUCCGAUUUCGAUGAGCCUUACCUUUUCAGAAAGGUCUUUUCGUUCUCUACGACUUUCGUGUUUUGAGUUUUUCCAGAGAACAUCGUUUAGAGGGUCAAAACAGUAUAUUAUUGGUCUGGGCAGAUUGCAAUCAUGGAGAUAAUUGG